CUCAUCCUGGCUUAGGCAUUUAUGAUUCUGGCUGAGCUUGUAAACUCAGAGGAUUAGAGGAUGGAGAAAGAGGGCAUGUCCUGCCUCAUGGGAGGAGAUAAAAGCCUCGGGGUACAAGAAAAAGGACAAGAUUACAGGAUCCCUUCCUGCCCAGCCUUACAGACUCUUGUUCAAGGACUCCUGCUUCACAGAUUCCAUUGUCUCUGUGCUCCAAAACAAUAAAGAAACGGAUUUUUGCAAAUCAUUUCUGGAACUUGAUUGUUUUUACACAGUGAACCUCAGCACUUGACCAAAGCAGAUUUCUCUUCCAUUUAGGUUAUUUCACCGUGAAAUGACUCCAUUCAGCAACAGUGUGUGAGAUGCCAUGCAAAGACACCUCCAUCCCCAUUGAUUGUCGGGAAAUGAGGAAGCAAAAGGAGGCGGCUCAAAAUGGAAUAUAAACUCUAUUUAAAAGAAUUUUCUGAAAAUCGGUGAUUGCAGAGGCUCUGAGCCAGGACAGCUGGGAGCAAGCCAUCAGAUUCCCCUUCUAAGGCACGGCUCUCUAUUGCUGUCAGCAGACCACGUAUUUCUUAGCAUCUCUGAAGAGAUGUUAAAUCAAUAAACUACCUAGAGGUUGCUG
rnacentral:lncRNA from 1 species